CCACGGGUAUCUUUGCCCACCACCACCGGCGCUACCACGGACCAUGCCAUCGGUAUCACCAUCACCCGUAGCUUCGUCCACCUUCACGGAACACCGUCGCCCGAUACCAGCUGUCCUCUCUGCCGUCCCUUUCUCUUCUACACGGCUUUCCUCUCACGGCUCCUUUUCCUCUCCGCGCUGUCCACUCUUGGCUGAUUCCCCUUCUCGGGUACCCGCAACUACGUCGUUCCUCUCUUCGUUCGACCAUGGCUCAGACUGGACCGCUUGCCGCCUCUUUGUCUCGUCGUUGUCUCCUGUUCGAGACGCAUCGAUGAUACCUGACCAGGAGAAACUACGAUUUACCGCUCUCCUCUCGCCACAUGCACGCCUAUCUGGAUCCUCUUUUUCUUUUCUUUCAACCCUUCCUGCACCCUUCCGUUCUUCUCGCAGCUACCAUCAUUCGUAACAGCGGUCCGGUCGAUCAGCCUGCUGUUCGAGUAAAGACACGUCGCGUCUGACUUUCGUGAUCGGUGCUCGGAGGAAUUUCUGAUGGAUCGGUGUAAGUACUAACCCUUUAGGUACAGUCGUCUUUGCUGGAAAUUGUACUCGUAUAUCCGAAUGCAAAUAAUUCUUCUUUAUGACAAAACACUUCCAUUGUAUUCUUGGUAUUUUGAAAUAUAAAUACUUUCUGUUAAAUGACCAUGGUUGCUCAUAGUAGCGAAAGGGUUAAAGGAAAGUAGCACGUCGGCUACUUGAUUCUUACACAUGAUUAAUACAAUCAUUGCUUAUAGAUCAUCUAGGGUUCUGAGAGUUUCCAUGUCUCUCUAGAAUCUUAAGUCCAUUAGAUUUCUAAUUUAGCAGUUUCAUCGUUUGAUAUAAUCACUCCUGUUCCAUCUCGUGUUGCCUAUCGAUGACUUAUACGAGUGCGUAGAUACAAAGAGAGACGUCAAUACCUUGAUCGUCUUUCUUAAAUCUUCAAAUCAAUCAUCUUCAUAUUCUCCGAGGAAAUUGAUCUCCCCAUUCUCUUUCUCAAACUACUUUUAUGAAUAACACGUUCACACCGAGGGAAAAAAUGUCGGCAUCCUGUGACAGAAUCGCGUAUGCCUGCUCAGAACAUUCCUCCAUACGUUAACCCAAAUAUGAGCAACGGCGAACGCGAAAUAAGUCGCUCAUUAAGAAAGAAUGCUUUGCUCGCAAUGGUUGCCACCGCUAUAUAAUUUAAACUGCAAUAAACUCGCUUAGAACACACGCUGUUGUGUUGCUACGUGUUCGCUAUUGCCGCGAUUUAAUAUUCGUGCAAAAACCAACAAACCAGACGGCAGUAAUCGCCUCGACCGCGGAUUUACGGCGAAAUAAUUGAACCAUAAUCGCUGGUGAAUUACGCGUCCAUUCAAAGAUGGUUACAUCAUUGUUAUUAUCCUGUCGAUUUUCUGGAAAUGUCUUCUCGCAAAACUUUCGUCGUUCGUAAAUCUUACAGCUGGUUUAGUUGAUAGGCUAUCCUUAGUAAAAAUUAAAAUUAAAAUUAUGGCUCUCUACCUGGUCCGCCAUCCGAGGUUAAACAUAGUCUCAUUACUUUUGUAUCAGACUCUACAAUACUUCAAUCGUUACAACUUCAACAUCUUCUUAAGAAUCUUCCACAUUUUUAAAUCACCUUUUAUCUUAAUCCAUCCACUUCGUAUCCCUCCAUUCAUAUCACAGCUGAAAACAAUUGACGUUUCGCGAGGUACACCGUCUUUUGUUAUCACACCGAUCAAUAUCAGACUCGAACGAGUAAAAAUAUUCAGGUCAGAUGGAUAGCAACUGGCAACAACGGACCUUGGAUCCGAAGCUUCCAGAGGAGGCUGCUCCCUCCGGCAUACCAAGACAGAUCACCUCUUUUUUCCCCUUCCUACACUUUACGCGCACCUGUCCAACCUGGACGGAUCGUAUUCUGAUCCUGCUUCCUACAAAGCGACCAGUCUGCUCCUUUUUCUUAAAUCGAACAUUCUCAGUGAUUCCUUUGGCUACGAAACUCUGCCCGUUAAACGGUCACCCUAUAAAUUUCCUCCACUCCCGACGUUAACCAUAGUAUCGACGAAUUUAUAGGGUGGUGCGAUAGAAUCUCUUACACCCUCGCUGUAAUGACUCGCAGCAAUGGGUGUUAAUCCUAAUUUGGCAGGUACUGAAAUUUAAAACAAAAAUGACUGAAAUAUUUCAAUGAUUAUUAAAAGUGGUUCCAACCUUUGAAUCGAUGACGAAGAUUUCGAAAAGCGAAGCGACGAUGGAAGAAGGAUCGACGCGAGGUGCCACCCACGUGUGUAAUUAUGAGAUCACUGCCGAAAACAGCAAGCAACCGUGUCCAAUAAGAGAGAAGGAGCAACGGAAUGGCCAAAAAAGAAAAAUGAUUAACGAACUCGUUCAACGCAUUCCCGUGUCAGGAUACAAGGGGAGAUACGUCGAGCAUGUUACAAGAAGGUUGCUCGAUAUAUCGUGACGUAAGCGACGGAAUUUCGAGGAGAAUGAACGACGCGGUUCGAGCUUCUAUAAAAGUGGAACACACCGCGUUUCUCGUGAUUUACAAUGUGUUACUGGAAUAAAAAUAGACAUAGAAUCAGUAGGGUCUAUAAACAAGAUAUACGAGCAGAUAAAAUUCACUGUGAUGCUUGGAAAUUGCAGUUGUUGGAAACUACCCCGGGGGAAAACUGAAAUUUAAAGGUUGCAAUGCCUUUCCCUGUUUCACUUAAAAAUUAUUAUACUCUUUUUGACGCAUUAAUUUUUGUGAUAAAAUAAAAAUAUUGCUCGAUAAAACUUUCAACAAUUCA